rnacentral:rRNA from 1 species
GACGAACGCUGGCGGCGUGCUUGACACAUGCGAGUCGAACGGAAAGGCCUGCUUUCCCUUGUGGAUUGCGGGUACUCGAGUGGCGAACGGGUGAGUAACACGUGAGUGAUCUGCCCCCAACUUGGGUAUAAGCCUGGGAAACUGGGUCUAAUUCCCGAUAGGACUGCAGUGUGGUGCCUGUGGUGGAAAACGAUUUUCUAGUGGUUGGGGAUGAGCUCGCGGCCUAUCAGCUUGUUGGUGGGGUAAUGGCCUACCAAGGCGGCGACGGGUAGCCGGCCUGGGAGGGUGGACGGCCACAUUGGGACUGAGAUACGGCCCAGACUCCUACGGGAGGCAGCAGUGGGGAAGAUUGCACAAUGGGCGGAAGCCUGAUGCAGCGACGCCGCGUGGGGGAUGACGGCCUUCGGGUUGUAAACUCCUUUCGACCGCGAGGAAGCCACCUGGUUGGAAGGGUGGUGACGGUAGUGGUAGAAGAAGCACCGGCUAACUACGUG